rnacentral:rRNA from 1 species
AAUGAACGCUGGCGGCAGGCCUAACACAUGCAAGUCGAACGGAUCCUUCGGGAUUAGUGGCGGACGGGUGAGUAACGCGUGGGAACAUACCCUUUGGUACGGAAUAGCCUCGGGAAACUGGGAGUAAUACCGUAUGUGGUCGAGAGACGAAAGAUUUAUCGCCAAAGGAUUGGCCCGCGUUGGAUUAGGUAGUUGGUGGGGUAAUGGCCUACCAAGCCGACGAUCCAUAGCUGGUUUGAGCGGAUGAUCAGCCACACUGGGACUGAGACACGGCCCAGAGUCCGACGGGAGGCAGCAGUGGGGAAUCUUAGACAAUGGGGGAAACCCUGAUCUAGCCAUGCCGCGUGAUCGAUGAAGGCCUUAGGGUUGUAAAGAUCUUUCAGGUGGGAAGAUAAUGACUGUACCACCAGAAGAAGCCCCGGCUAACUCCGUGCCAGCAGCCGCGGUAA